rnacentral:lncRNA from 1 species
AUGGCAUCCCCUCCACCAGUUACCAUAAUAAAACUCCUCCGAGUUGCACUCUGCAGGAGCGUCCUGUCAGCACGGUGCUCCUCAACGUUAGCGGAAAGUUGUUUGAGUACACACUCAAGGGGGAGAUCAACCUUAGAGAAAUCCACAGUGUGGAGCAGAAUGACAUGUUGCGCAAGUUGACCUUUGACCCAGAGGUGUUUUUCAACAUUCUGCUACCUCCCAUCAUAUUCCAUGCCGGAUACAGCCUCAAAAAGGUAUGAGUGAUAUUUUGUGCUGGGCAGUGACCUUAAGACAGCUUUAGCUUUCAUUUUGCUUGUUUAGUAGAGUGUUCAUCCAUGAAGGUGCUGCUUUACCCCUUUACAUUAUGAAAUUUUGAGAUAGGAUCUAGUCUAAUGCAACCCGAUCUCUGUUCUCUCAUCGUUUUGCUUCAGCGUAGGGCUGGACGAUAUGGCCAAAAUUUAUAUCACGAUAUAUUUCUUAAUUUCGGUCGAUACGAUAUAAUUCCGAUAUCGAUAUGAACACUAUAAAAAGCCUCGUAAAAACUGCCAAGAACGCCCACAACAGAUGUCAGUGUAUAUACAUUUAUGAAAAAUGAAUUUGCCAAGUCUGACACCUCAUUUAAAACCAUUUAAUAUUUUUAAGUAAAAAAAAAAACCUUUAUUUUUAGUAUUUAGAUGAUGAUCACUGAAGCAGCUCCUGUGCUUUCGGUGUGAGAGCGAACAUUUUCCAGCCGCGCCAGCCGUAUUGAUUGGCCAGGCUCGUGACUCCCAACAAAUCAGACGGACGAUGGGCGGGGGCUUAGUCUAGGCCACAGAGCGGUGCGCUCUGACUGAGGUGGCUGGAUCAGUGCCAGAUCGCGCAUUUAAAAAAAAAUAGGUUUUAUCGGCAAAUCGGUUUUGAAAAUGGCCGAUGCCGAUAACAAUAAAAAUGCUUAAUAUCGGCGCCGAUAAUCGGCCACGCCGAUAAUCGGUCGACCCCUAGUCCAUUGUUUUUACCCAUUUUAAAACAGGAUUCUUCUGAUCAGGAACAGUGUUAGUAUGCAGUGAGUGUUAGAUGCACAUUUAUAGUACAACACAAACCUACAUGUGCGCAAACAUGUAUGCACACACUCAUGUUUAUGUAGCAGUGUAAAAUAACAUUAAAAAGUAUAUAUAAAGAAAUCUGAUCUGAGUCGGAGAUGAUGUGCACUCAUAUGAAAUUAAGAUUUUUAUUAAUUGUUUUUAAUAGGAAAAAAACUAGGUUAAACACAUACAUACUGGCCUGAAUGCUGGUUUCUGACAGGCUGUCAGCAUUGUGGCCUGACAGAACGGAUAGUUCUGCUUGACUGAUUUAUUUUUACAGCAACAAGGUCACUCUCACACACACUCACUUGAGGGCAUUUUGACUGCACGAGCUGCAUUGCAUGUGACUGAACAGCAGUGUGUCACACAGUGAGAUUUCGAAUGAUCCACUGGAUCGAUUUAACCUAAUUCCAGAUGUUGUCUUUGGUUAUUGGGUCAGUACAGCUGAUGAUUUCUAUUGCAAGUUGCAACUUGGGUCAGUGUGUGUGUUUGAAUACUGUAAUUUCCCAGCAUGCAUUUGUGUUUUGGACAUUUCUUUGUUUGGCACAUCACAGUGAAGUUGGCUUAUAAUGUAAUCUUCAUGUUAAUGUAGUGAUUUAUAAAUAGUCAAACCAAAAUUGUAGACGCCUUCAACAUUUCUCACAUUAUAACAGUUUAUUCUCUAUAGUUUAGAAAAUGGUAAUAAAAUAACAAGAACUCAGAGUUAAACUGUGUCAGAACAAAUUCAUCUUGAUAAUGUCAGAUAACUUUGAUAGAAAGGUAUGUAAUGAAUUAGGUUGAAUUAGCUGUCAGCUGUUAAAUUUAAGUACACAGUAAGAUAAUGCCAAUUUAGGUCAACCAAUUACCAAGUAAUGCUUUUUUUUUUUGUUUAGUCUGUGCUGUAAAAAGGUUGUUUUCGCUAUUAAAGAAAAAACACUUAAGCAAAACAUGCUCAGGUCAAAGUGUCCGAAUAGUUUUUGGUCCCAGAUUUUUUAUCAGUUUUACUUGUAGUCCACUGUAUGAAGAAUUUUUGGGUAUAAUAUGCCACAGUUUACUUUAUUUUGCUAUCCUCACUUACAUAUAUGAACUGCACCCACUAGUAAAAAAAUAUAAAAAAUUAUAUCUGGUGUCUGAAUAAUUUUUGGUUUGACUGUAUAUAUAAUAAAGUAAAAUGCAUUUUUAAAUGUUUUACUUCAAAGCAUUUAAAAACACUCGUUUGUCAUUGACUCAUUUACACACACACACUCACACACACUUAAACAAAUUUCCUUUGUCACAGCAUUAUUGUUUAUUGUUGCAUUAUACUACAGGUUGAAGUGUAAUUAUGGAAAAAUCAGCCUGGUGACAUUUAAUAACAAAUAAUAAAAGUGUUGUACAGCUAAACUUGAUCUCCUACAAUUGCAGAAUUAG